rnacentral:rRNA from 1 species
GACGAACGCUGGCGGCGUGCUUAACACAUGCAAGUCGAACGGUGAUGCUCCAGCUUGCUGGCGUGGAUCAGUGGCGAACGGGUGAGUAACACGUGAGCAACCUGCCCCAGACUCUGGAAUAAGCGCUGGAAACGGCGUCUAAUACUGGAUACGAAACUGGCCCGCAUGGGCAUGGUUUGGAAAGUUUUUCGGUUUGGGAUGGGCUCGCGGCCUAUCAGCUUGUUGGUGAGGUAAUGGCUCACCAAGGCGACGACGGGUAGCCGGCCUGAGAGGGCGACCGGCCACACUGGGACUGACACACGGCCCAGACUCCUACGGGAGGCAGCAGUGGGGAAUAUUGCACAAUGGGCGAAAGCCUGAUGCAGCGACGCCGCGUGAGGGAUGACGGCCUUCGGGUUGUAAACCUCUUUCAGCAGGGAAGAAGCGAAAGUGACGGUACCUGCAGAAGAAGCACCGGCUAACUACGUG